GCCGUCUGAAUUGUGUCAGCAGUACGAGAAAGCUUUGUUAAACGUUAACAGCACUAACUGUGGCAUAAUCAUUUGCAUACAGAAGUCGUCAUGCUCUUCUCUCUUUGCUCUGUCCGUUCAUUCAUGUGAUUUAACAGCGACAAUUACAUCAAAAUAGAUUUACAAACCAGCAUUUGUAGACUAAAGGUCCCCGGACGCGUACACGUUUAGUGAACUUUCGCGCGCCGGAGUCAACGCCUCGUGCUUCUGUGUGUGCCGUCGUUUUGUGCUUAAGUCGUUCAGUGUUAUUCAUUUUGUGCACCUACGUUCACGUGUGACAAUUUUCGUCUCUGUAUGUGUCCAAGUGUCUGAACAAUUUUAUCUUGGACUCUACAACAGUGAACGGCACCGUGUAUUUUAAAACGUGAUUUUCUCCGUUUUUAUGUCCACCAUCUUUUUGUCUCUCUAAUUGUCUUCAUUUGUAUGUUGUUUGUGUUUCUCUGAGGCCAAAGAACGGCGUAGUAUGCUGGUGCAGGCCUGCCUGACGCCAGUAAACAGGUUUCAAAAUAACGACAAAGAAAAAAAAAACUUUCACAGUAUUACAUCGUACUCAAUGACUUAUGAUGCAGUAUAUUCAUAAUAUUACGUGAUGAGGCACGACUCAAUUUAUGCGAGCAUGUUAGCCCUCAAAACUGUCUAUGUUGGAACACUGUCACAGCUAUUCUGCUUCACGAGGAACCCAUUCAUGGCCAGAAAAUAGUGUGGUGCAUAGUUAGAGGUGACAGAAUAAUGGGCCCAAUAAUUUUAAUGACACAGUUAACUGUGAAAGGAAUGUGCAAGACUUUUGUAACCAAUUUUAAUGAGUAGAGUUAAAAGAAUGAAGCAUAGUAUUUUUUCAACAAGGGAGCACUAAAGGCCAAAGUAGCACAACAAACCCACACAUGUUACAGGAAUUCAAGGAUAAUAUCCAUGAGUCAGUUCAUUCACUUUCUCAAAGAGAAGUACAUUGUGUGACAAAUAAUUUCUUCAGUAGAUGUGAGGAAUGUGUGGAAAAAAAAUGGCAUGUACUUCCAGCAUCUCAAUGCAUGAAAUAGACAGAAGAUAGGAAUGAAGUGCCAACCUGUUCUAAACUGGGAGUGCAGUCUGUAGCAAAUUAUGUGGAGAGUUUGUGUAGCAACAGUAGUAAUACAAGGUGUCCAACAAAGGACUUGCUAACAUUAGAAUUAAAUAGCAUGAAAAUAGUAGAACAGACAUUAUGUUUAUUGUGAAAGCAGUAAGAACUUUAUACAGAAGCUUUGAAAUAAUAGUUACAAAACAUGGAACUGUCAUAGCAAAACAAUGUACUUAUAAAUAAUACUCCAAAGUUCAGAGCAAUCAGUUAAUCAAUUUCAUAUGGAGAGGCAGCUUGUAAAUGUUGGGCCGGUGGCAGCUGUAGUUACUCCUGAAGAUGUCACCAUAGUUUCUGAAAGAAUACAGCAGAAUAUGAGGAAAUUUGCCCAAACAAUUUCUAUAGAGGCUGUUUUGAAGUGUUCAAGCAUGCAUACACUACUGAGAAAUGGUCCACAUCUGUUCCUAUUCAAAAUACAAAGCCACCGGGUCAUAUCUGUAACCACUAUGAGAUAAAGGGCUUACUGCAGACCAAAUUCUCACAAUAUUUGAAGGAUUUGGUGCUGGCUGCAUCUGGUUUACUGGUUAGGGAUACAUCCAUCUGAAUGUGUUGGAGAAUAAGAAAACUGGCAAUUUUGGGGUACCAAAAAGCCCCUUUUGUAUGAAGAAAAACCAUUGCAUUCUCCUAAAGCUAUUGUUUAGGCUUGUGAUAUGCAGCAGGCAUACAAUCAGCCCUUACAUCAUGCAAGAAUCAGUAGCUUGUAAACAUUACUUUAUAAUUUUUGAAAAGUUUGUCAUCAAACAGUAAGCAUUAGAGCAUCAAUGUGCACUGAGUGAUUCAUGCAAAAUGGGGCCUGACCACAUCCAACCAAACAGGUGUUCCACUUUCUUGAGGAAUACUUUGAGAAUAGGGUCAUUGUGUGGAUUAUCCCAUUUUUAUGGACAGAGGCAUGGAAAGGGUCCAUAUUCACUCAGUCUGACUUUUGGGACUACUUUUCUGGGACACGUUGAAAUACAUUAUCAACUGGGACCAUCCCACCACACUGGAUGAAUAUGAACUGUUUGCAUUGCAACUGAAUUCUUAAUAAAAAGAAAAUAUGGCUUCGAAUUCAAUUUUUCUGAAUCUACAAGAGAAAAUGCUCAGUCAGCUACAUGCAUUGACAAUAUUUUAACGAAUUAUGAAUUUGAAGAUGGAUAUAAAUUUUGUCUAGAUCUAGGAAUUUCUGAUCAUUCAGCAUUAUUCAUUGAGCUACCCCGAGCAGGUAGAGAAGUCCCAUGUAAAAAAGCUUAUGUAAAAAGGAUCUUCAACCAAGAAACUUUGACUCUAUUCCAUGAUAAGCUCAAGGAAACAGAAUGGCACUUUGAUAAAAAUAUUUCAUGCACAGCAAAUUUUGAAGCAUUUCUAGGGGAUUUUCUAAGUGUUUUCAAUGAAAUGUUUCCACAAAAGACUUAUUUUAAUAAAAUGACAAAAUUAAAAUGGAUCACUAAAGGUCUAAAAAUCUCCAGUGCUAAGAAAAGGCAGCUACAUAAGGAACCAAGACAUAAUAAAAAAAAUUGAAUUUAUUGAAUAUGUUAAACGAUACAAAAGUACAUUUAAGAAAGUUGUCAAAGCAGCAAAGCAAAUGACAAAUAAUAAAUUAUUCUUAAAACAUGAGAAUAAAUCAAAGGCAAUGUGGUCAGUUGUAAAGCACGAAUUAGAUAUCAAAGCCUCUAGACAUGGAAUUAGUACAAUUAAGCUUGAAGAUGAGAUCAUUGUAAAUCCGACUUGAAUUUCAGAAUGCUUCAAUGAGUUCUUCAUUAAUGUAGUGAAACCAGAGGUUAAUAUUGCAGAUUAUGAGAAAAAUGUAUGUCCCUUUGGACUAAAUCAUAAUUCUGAAUGCCUCUUUAAAUUCAAAACAGUUUCAACAAUAGAUCUACAAAAAAUUAUAUUAAAACUAAAAUACAAAAAUUCUGCAGGUUGGGAUGGAAUACCAGCAAAAGCCCUUAAAUUUGUGUGUAAAAUAAUAGGAUACCCACUAUCUAAAGUAAUAAACCAAUCCUUUGAACAAGGAAGCUUCCCAGAGGUACUGAAGUAUGCGGAAGUAAAACUGUUGCUCAAAAAAGGAUCAAGAGAGGACAUGGGGAAUUAUCGUCCCAUCUCCCUCCUUCCAGUCCUAUCAAAAAUCUUUGAAAACGCUGCUGCUAUGCAGAUUCAAAAUUUAAUGGAGAAAUAUGAUAUUAUUACGGAAAACCAAUUUGGUUUCCAGCAUGGCAAAAGUACUACUGAUGCAAUUAACAAGUUUAUCGACAAGAUCAGCACAUCAUUAGACAACCAUAAUAAAGUAGCAGGAAUAUUUUGAGAUCUCACAAAAGCCUUUGACUCUGUAAAUCACGCACUGCUCAUCUAUAAGCUUGACAAGAGUAAUGUACUAAAUUGGCUUACUUCAUACUCAUCAAAUAGGAAACAAAGAGUGAUUGUCUCAUCAAAUGCAGGAAAUUACUAUUCAAAAUGGAAAACAGUAGCCCAAGGUGUCCCUCAAGGCUUGAUUCUAAGACUUAUUUUGUUUUUGUUCUAUAUAAAUGAUUUACCGAACAAUAUAAAUGCUCCAUUGAUUUUAUUUGCAUAUGACACAUCUGCAUUAACUGAAAACCAGAAGCCCAAAAAAAUCCCUCUCUACAUAAUAAACACAAUGAACAAACUAGAAACAUGGUUCCAACUGAAUGGAUUAAGAUUGAACGUCCGCAAAACCCACAUCGUCCAGUUCAGAACAAAACAGUCAAAGCCCCAAGAAAUUAAAAUAACUCAUAAAAAUCAGGAUAUAGAAGAAGUGGAUUCUGUCAAGUUUUUAGGGUUAAACUUAGAUAAAAAUUUAAAUUGGAAUAAACAUGUUGACUACCGGCUAAACAAAUUAUGUAGCUUUGCAUUUGCUAUGCAAAUAUUAGCUGGUGCAACAGACAUGAAUACAAGAAAAAUUGCAUACCACAGCUACUUUCAAUCAGUUGUAAGGUAUGGUAUUAUUUUUUGGGGAAAUUCAAGCAAUAUAUUGCGCAUACUAAAGUUGCAGAAAAGAAUAAUAAGGAACAUGUGUACUGCCCAUCCAAGGACAUCAUGUUGCCUACUAUUUGAAAAACAACAGUUAUUAACAGUUCCCUCCUUAUACAUCUACGAUAUUAUCAUCUUUCUACAUAGCAAUUUAGAGUUAUUCGAGAAAAACUGUUUCAAUCACACAUAUAACACGAGUAACAAAGACAAUUUUAUGCUUCCCACUAAUCGCUUAAAUCUAUAUGUGCGGUCUCCUUAGUAUAUGGCAACGAAAAUUCAUAACAAGCUAAAAGGAAAGAAUGUUCUGAGUAUGAACCUAGAGACACUGAAAUCAAAGCUAUAUGAUAUACUUGUCAAACGCUGCUACUACACUGUUGGGGAGUUCAUGAAGGAUGAACUGAACAUUUGAGCGGGAUAAAUUUACAUAUAGUCUUGUGUGUAAAUGUAGCUAUCCAUCACAAAAAGGAGGAAAGAAAAAUAAAAGUUUAUAUUAAUGUUAAAAUUCUUUGUACCAAUUAGGCCUAAGUUAAGUUAUCCAUUUUUUUGACCUGUCUCCUGUACACUAAUCAUAUGAUUGGAAAUUGUAUGUUAUGAGACAAAUAAAACACUAUUCACUAUUCAUUUCCAUACAUUUCAAGAUGUGUUAACAAAUGAUGAUCAGUGAGCAUUUUGAAAAGAUUGUGAUGUGAUUGCAAAGGCUGCUUGCUAAAGAUAAAUUUAUUUAUGCAUGCUGAUAAAAGCGGACAUUAUACAGUGCCUUAGCAGUUUUUCUAUGUAGUAUUCAUAACUUCUGUACAAAAUUCUUUGUGUUCAAAAUUAAUCUGCCAUUCAUUCAAUUUUUUUCUUUUCUGUGUUAGUUAAUUAUAAAUCAGGGAGUCCUUGGUUGGCUACCCUUUAUAUUUAUAGUUAAUGAAAACCCAGCAACUACACACACAAUUCUUCAGUCCGCAGAUCUUCAAACUUCCACUCCUAGGUACUCCACAAUGAAGAAAAGGGAGCAGAAUGAUAAAUAUGGUCCUGCAAUUGAGUCAAUCACUAAUACACUGCAGGAAGUUGAUGAUGAAACAGAUAUUUUUGCUAAAUUUUUGGGAGUGUAAAUCAGAAAAAUUGUGCCGAGGAGAAAAGGGAUGUAAAUCUAAU